UGGGGAAUUUUGGACAAUGGGCGAAAGCCUGAUCCAGCAAUGCCGCGUGUGUGAAGAAGGCCUUCGGGUUGUAAAGCACUUUUGUCCGGAAAGAAAUCCUCUGGGUUAAUACCUCGGGGGGAUGACGGUACCGGAAGAAUAAGCACCGGCUAACUACGUGCCAGCAGCCGCGGUAAUACGUAGGGUGCACGCGUUAAUCGGAAUUACUGGGCGUAAAGGGUGCGCAGGCGGUCUUGCAAGUCAGAUGUGAAAGCCCCGGGCUUAACCUGGGAAUUGCGUUUGAAACUACAAGGCUAGAGUGCAGCAGAGGGGAGUGGAAUUCCAUGUGUAGCAGUGAAAUGCGUAGAGAUGUGGAAGAACACCGAUGGCGAAGGCAGCUCCCUGGGUUGACACUGACGCUCAUGCACGAAAGCGUGGGGAGCAAACA
rnacentral:rRNA from 1 species